CAUGCAAGUCGAACGCAGUAGCAAUACUGAGUGGCAGACGGGUGAGUAACAUGUGGGAAUCUGCCUUGUGGUUCAGGACAACAUUGGGAAGCCGAUGCUAAUACUGGAUAAGCCCUUACGGGGAAAGUUUUAAUGCCAUAAGAUGAGCCCGCAUUUGAUUAGUUAGUUGGUGAGGUAAUGGCUCACCAAGACAAUGAUCAAUAGCUGAUCUGAGAGGAUGAUCAGCCACACUGGGACUGAGACACGGCCCAGACUCCUACGGGAGGCAGCAGUGGGGAAUCUUGCACAAUGGAGGAAACUCUGAUGCAGCGAUGCCGCGUGAGUGAAGAAGGCCUUUGGGUUGUAAAGCUCUUUUGUAGGGGAAGAUAAUGACUGUACCCUAAGAAUAAGGUCCGGCUAACUUCGUGCCAGCAGCCGCGGUAAUACGAAGGGACCUAGCGUAGUUCGGAAUUACUGGGCGUAAAGCGCGCGUAGGCCGUUGAGUUAGUUAAUUGUGAAAUCCCAAAGCUUAACUUUGGAACUGCAAUUAAAACUGCUCGACUAGAGUUUGAUAGAGGAAAGCGGAAUACAUAGUGUAGAGGUGAAAUUCGUAGAUAUUAUGUAGAACACCAGUUGCGAAGGCGGCUUUCUGGAUCAACACUGACGCUGAGGCGCGAAAGUAUGGGUAGCAAAGAGGAUUAGAUACCCUCGUAGUCCAUACCAUAAACGAUGAUUGCUAGAUGUUGGAAAUUUUAUUUUCAGUAUCGCAGCUAACGCAUUAAGCAAUCCCGCCUGGGGAGUACGACCGCAAGGUUAAGACUCAAAUGAAUUGACGG
rnacentral:rRNA from 1 species